rnacentral:rRNA from 1 species
GCUUGUCUCAAAGAUUAAGCCAUGCAUGUCUAAGUAUAAACUGCUUAUACUGUGAAACUGCGAAUGGCUCAUUAAAUCAGUUAUAGUUUAUUUGAUGGUACUUUCUACUCGGAAUAACCGUAGUAAUUCUAGAGCUAAUACGUGCGUAAAUCCCGACUUCUGGAAGGGACGUAUUUAUUAGAUGGAAACCAAUGCGGGGCAACCCGGAAUAUGGUGAUUCAUAAUAACUUUCGGAUCGUUUACGAUGCAUCAUUCAAGUUUCUGCCCUAUCAGCUUUGGAUGGUAGGGUAUUGGCCUACCAUGGCUUUAACGGGUAACGGAGAAUUAGGGUUCGAUUCCGGAGAGGGAGCCUGAGAAAUGGCUACCACAUCCAAGGAAGGCAGCAGG